GCUGUGGCUCUGUGGUAGAGGAUCUGCUUCGAGUGCAGAAGGUCCCAGGUUCCAUCCUUGGCAUCUCCA